AGGGUUUGAUUAUGGCUCAGAUUGAACGCUGGCGGCGUGCUUAACACAUGCAAGUCGAACGAGAAAGUGGCUUCGGCCAUGAGUAGAGUGGCGCACGGGUGAGUAACGCGUGGAUAAUCUGCCUCUGCAUUGGGAAUAACAGCUGGAAACGGCUGCUAAUACCGAAUACGCUCAAGCAGAACUGUUUGAGGAAAGAGGGCCUCUGAAUAUGCUUUCGUGCAGAGAUGAGUCCGCGUCCCAUUAGCUAGUUGGCGGGGUAACGGCCCACCAAGGCGACGAUGGGUAGCCGAUUUGAGAGGAUGAUCGGCCACAUUGGAACUGAAACACGGUCCAA
rnacentral:rRNA from 1 species